AUAAAAUGGUUUUCAAUUCGAUGGUACCAGUCCCGUUGGACGAGAGGAUUGCAUCGUUUUGGACACAAAUGUUCUCUUGCAAACUAAUCUAAUGAAGCCUGUUCUGCAUAUGAUACACUGUUAUUGGAUUAUCUAAAAUGCAAACUAAUAAAGAUCGUUCCGCCUACACUUUGUUAACAGUCUGAACAACCUACGAGAGAUAAAACGAUGGUACCAGUCCCGUUUGACGAGCGGAUUUCUUCGUUUUGGUUACAUCUGUUGCGCUCGUAUUCAAUGCUAACAUAUUGCUUGCCUUACCCUCAUCCUCAUACGCUAAUGGAUUGCCUCGCCUCUCUAUGAUUAGUUGGAUUGCCCCAAAUGCAAACUAAUGAAAAGAUCGUUCCGCAUAUUCAAGGUAAAUCUAAUUCAAAUUGUUGUUACCGGUCCCGUUGGACAAGAAGAUUGCAUCGAUUUGAUGCUCCGUCGUUGCCACGUGCCCAACAUUCACAUUUCGCUUGUCAUUGUCUGAAUAAACGUUGUUCAUCGAUCGUAAAUUGGAAAUU